rnacentral:lncRNA from 1 species
AUAAAUGCUUUUUCUUGGUUUUGGAUAGUAUCUUCUAUAAUUGGUUCUUCUUCUGCAAGCAUCAUUGUUUCAUGCUCAGGUAUUACUAUGGCUUUUCCUUUGUCAGAAGACUCAGGUGGUUGAGAAAUAAUAGGUGGAGGAGGAAUAUUAAUUUGAGGUGAUGGUACUCCUUUAAUAUCUAACUGGGAUAGUUUUGAUAUUAAUUGAUCCAUAAG